rnacentral:rRNA from 1 species
GACGGGGGGGACAAGUGUUACUCAUCAUGAUUGGGCGUAAAGGGUGCGUAGGUGGUUUUUUAAGUUAGAAGUGAAAUCCAAGGGCUUAACCCUUGAAAGUCUUUUAAUACUAAUAAACUUUGAGUCUGAUAGAAGAUAGUGGUAUUUUUGGUGGAGAGGUGAAAUUCGGCGAUAUCAAAAAGACCAACAUAGGCGAAAGCAACUGUCUAGAUUAGCACUGACGCUGAGGCACGAAAGCAUGGGGAGCAAACAGG